rnacentral:rRNA from 1 species
UGGGGAAUAUUGCACAAUGGGCGCAAGCCUGAUGCAGCCAUGCCGCGUGUAUGAAGAAGGCCUUCGGGUUGUAAAGUACUUUCAGUCGGGAGGAAGGGAGUAAAGUUAAUACCUUUGCUCAUUGACGUUACCCGCAGAAGAAGCACCGGCUAACUCCGUGCCAGCAGCCGCGGUAAUACGGAGGGUGCAAGCGUUAAUCGGAAUUACUGGGCGUAAAGCGCACGCAGGCGGUUUGUUAAGUCAGAUGUGAAAUCCCCGGGCUCAACCUGGGAACUGCAUCUGAUACUGGCAAGCUUGAGUCUCGUAGAGGGGGGUAGAAUUCCAGGUGUAGCGGUGAAAUGCGUAGAGAUCUGGAGGAAUACCGGUGGCGAAGGCGGCCCCCUGGACGAAGACUGACGCUCAGGUGCGAAAGCGUGGGGAGCAAACAGG